UCGGUUGAUCCUGCCGGAGGCUACCGCUAUUGGAGUUCGAUUAAGCCAUGCGAGUCGCGAGAAAUUAGAUUCUCGGCGUACCGCUCAGUAACACGUGGGUAACCUGCCCUAUGCUGGAUAAUAACCUCGGGAAACUGAGAAUAAUGAUCCAUAGUUCACUACGCCUGGAACGGUGAGUGGAUGAAAGCUCCGGCGGCAUAGGAUGGGCCUGCGGCGUAUCAGGUUGUAGGGGGUGUAACGUACCCUCUAGCCCUCUACGCGUACGGGUGUUGGGAGACAUAGCCCGGAGAUGGAUUCUGAGACACGAAUCCAGACCCUACGGGGUGCAGCAGGCGCGAAAACUUGGCAAUGCGAGAAAUCGUGACCAGGGAACUCCAAGUGCAUGGGGUAAGACCCAUGCUUUUCUUGACUCUAAAUAGGUCUUGGAAUAAGGGGUGGGUAAGGACGGUGCCAGCCGCCGCGGUAAUACCGGCGCCUCAAGUGGUAGUCGCUUUUAUUGGGCCUAAAACGUCCGUAGCCGGUCUGAUACAUUCGUGGGUAAAUCAACCAGCUUAACUGGUUGAAUUCUGCGAGGACGGUCAGACUUGGGACCGGGAGAGGUGUGGGGUACGCUCAGGGUAGGGGUAAAAUCCUGUCAUCCUGAGCGGACCACCUGUUGCGAAGGCGCCACACUAGAACGGAUCCGACGGUCAGGGACGAAGCCUAGGGGCACGAACCGGAUUAGAUACCCGGGUAGUCCUAGGUGUAAACGCUGUGGACUUGAUGUUGGGGGUGCUCCGAGCACUCUCAGUGUCGAAGCGAAGGUGAUAAGUCCACUGCCUGGGAAGUACGGUCGCAAGGCUGAAACUUAAAGGAAUUGGCGGGGGAGCACCGCAACCUGAGGAUUGUGCGGUUUAAUUGGAUUCAACGCCGG
rnacentral:rRNA from 1 species